rnacentral:misc_RNA from 1 species
CAAGCCCAGCUAAGUGAGGCAAGGGAGCGCUACCAGCAGGGCAAUGGCGGAGUAACUGAACGGACCAGACUCCUCUCUGAGGUU